GGCUGUAGCUAAUCUAUCUAACCUAAUGGAUGUAACUCAAUGACAACUAGCUUAAUGUAAAUAUAAAUCUAGCCCCCUGCCGCAUCGCGACGGGUUACUCUUCUAGUUCUACACCUAAAUAUUAUAUACCUUUGCAUUUAGGUCAUGUGUAGUUUACAUAUUUGCAUAGAGAGAAGUUAAAAACUCACUUUUCAUAUGAAAUUUAUAGAUAUGCAAAUCAUACCCUUGUAGUUCAUACUUAAGUUUUCUUGCAUAUAUAAGUAUAUAAAUCUGAAAUAUUAUCAUUUCAUAUGCCUAUGUAGGGGAUAUUCAUAGUUCCUUUUCCAGUGAAACAUUCAUUGUUAUCUUUGUUUAUGGCUCCAAGUGAAAACAACUCCAUUUAAGAUAUGGGUACAUUUCACUAAUUAGAACAAAUGCUUCUUGAUCGAAAAUAAAUAAUUGGUUCUUUUAAAUGUGUGGAUUACAAUCAUGUGGAACAGUAGAAGCAAUCUACAUUAAGUUGAAAAAUAAAUAAAAGUCCUAGACACUCAAAUUAACAAUUAGUACAUUUUUUCCUCUUAAAAUAUGUUUUUCUCCUUACACGCAUCAAAUGACAUUUACACAUUAAUAAAUGAGUUUAUUAAUGUACACUCAAUGUUGCAUAGCAUACAAGAUCUUUGAGGUAGAAAAUCGUUUCUAUAACAUUAAUUAUUGGUGGCAAAAUGGAUGUGUUGGAUUGGAUUGGUUGUUGGGUCAUGAUGGGUUUGGGUCAAGAUGGGUUUUGGUUAGGAUGGGUUUGGGUCAAGAUGGGUAAAAGAAAGAAAAAUGUCAGGAUAGGUUUGGGUAAAGAUGAGUUCGGAUCAAGAUAGGUUUGGGUUAAGAUGGGUUGAGAAUAAAUCAAUAAUAAUAAAAACUAAGAAAAAUUAUAAAAAAUUAAAGAAAAAACGAAAAAAAUAAAAAAAAUUGAAAAAACGAUCUGCACUUUUCCUGCAUAUAUCACGAACAUAAUUAAAAAUUAAAGGAAUAAGAUACAGCAUGUAAAUGUCAUUAAUAAUACACACCUUCCUAUGGAUGUAUUGUCUUUAUCACCAUAUUUACAUAGUACAGGAGGAAAAGUUAAAAUCAAGCCGUGCUUUACUAGUGGGUGUGAGGGCCGGCUGAGGCCCGGCUAGGACCCGCCCUCCAUAGGGUCGGCUCGGCAACAUCGGCUUCCCACAGACGGACUUGCCGUGCCUCUCUCCUCUCUCCUAACACACACACAUCUAUACAUACAUACAUAUAUAUAUAAAGGGGUUCAUCCUCCACCCUUUAGGUCCAUCCCCUCCAAACCAAUCCUACGUAGUGCUGACGUGACGGCCCAUCCUCUUAGGGAUGAGUCUCUCCACUAGUCUCAUUGAACAAGCAAGCAUGCAUUAAAGUGAUAUAUACCAUACUAGCUAGUACAAUUCAAUCUCUAUAAAUCAAUCAAGCAUACAUUCUACACAGACCAUACUACCUACCACCCAUUUCUUCUCUAAGCAACGAAAUCAUAGAAUGGCUCAAUCGUGCGUGAUGUGUGAGGCGUUAAAUGAAGAGAACACCACCGGUUGUGUUGCGGGGUGUCUGUACGCCCCCCUUGUGGCUCAAGGGGUAGUGACCUCUCUUGAGCUCAACUGUCUCCUCUCUAGUUACCAACCGUCGUACAUUCAUGGGUUUAUGACCACCGUAGGACCUCAUCAGAGGCCGGCUAUGAUCGACUCUUUCAUGUUUACAUUCCGUAAAAGAAUGGAAAACCCGAUCCUGUCUGCCGAGGACAUGGACCAACUACUAGCAAAACUUGCAGAGAUGAGGGAGGAGGAGGAGGAACAAGCUGCUGCUGGUGAAAACCAUGUGUAGUUUUCAUUCAUCGUUAUAAGUUUGUAAUCAAACUCCAUAUGUUAAGGUUAACUAGUGUGCUGCUUGUUUUUAUCUAUAUCAAGUAUUUUUCUUCAGUUUCUAAA